CGCCUCUUGCCAACAACCAUGUAUAAGAGGUCCAGCCUGCCCAGUGACUAUAUGUUCAACGGCCGCGGUAUUCUGACCGUGCAAAGGUAGCGUAAUCACUUGUCUUUUAAAUAAAGACUGGUAUGAACGGCACCACGAAGGUUCAACUGUCUCCUGCAUCCAAUCCAUUAAACUGACCUCCCCGUGCAGAGGCGGGGAUGUAACCAUAAGACGAGAAGACCCUAUGGAGCUUUAAACUAAAGGCAACUGCCAAACUAUUUUACCCAUAAGGAAAAACUACUAAACAAGCAGAAAUUGACCUAAAGUUUUCGGUUGGGGCGACCAUGGAGAAUAAAAAAUCCUCCUUGAAGAAUAGGGCUUACAACCCUUAACCAAGAACCACCAUUCUAAGUAACAAAAUUUAUGACUGCAAUUGAUCCAGUCCUACUGAUCAACGAACCAAGUUACCCUAGGGAUAACAGCGCAAUCCAUUUCAAAAGUUCCUAUCGACAAAUGGGUUUACGACCUCGAUGUUGGAUCAGGGCAUCCCAGUGGUGCAGCCGCUACUAAAGGUUCGUUUGUUCAACGAUUAAAGC
rnacentral:rRNA from 1 species